rnacentral:misc_RNA from 1 species
AACCGCCGUAUACCGAACGGUAUGUACGGUGGUGUGAGAGGUCGGGGGCUAGUCGCCCCCUCCUACUCGAU